AGAUAAACACAGAGGCGAUUUAGAGUUGUUGUUCUUCCACAGAGAUUCGUUCUUCGGGGCGAUAUGGAUGUGGAUGAUGAUGAUGAUGACAAUUAUUAUCAAACAACAACACCAAUUUUAUCUUCUUGGGGUCCUGAUGAUACUCGAGAUAAAAAAAAAAUACAUACCCCUGUUGCAAAACUAUUGCAUGUUUGAAUGGUGAUAUUCAAGGACCGGGGGCUUGCUGCUGGAUGGGUUAGUUGAAGAUCAUGAGGAUCGAACAUAUCUAAGAGAUGCAUUGAAGCUGAAGAAUCUUUUUUUUUUGUGUGGAUUUCUGUUUAGGUAACAAUACCGGUAGUAACAAAACGAGUUGCAUCUCACGAUAACAAAGUUGGCGAGGAAUUGGAUAAGCUCAGAGGAUGAGUUGAAGAGGAUAAAGGUAGUUGUGAGCACAUUUACCUUAGGAAAUGACCUCACCUUAUGUUGCUAUGCUUGUAGCUCAAGAUGUUGCAACACAAUUGCAGGGGGAAUGAAGGUCAAAGCUGAUAAAGAUGGGUCCUCGCCUCAUGUUUCUAUGCUUGCAACCCAAAAUGUUGCAACAUGGUAAUAGGUUAACUGCUAAACCAUCCUAUGCAAAUCCUGCCAUUAUUCAGCAAGAGCUUGGCGUGGUUGAUAUUUUUGUCAGUCUGUGCAGACUAGAGUUGCAGUCUGGCUAUCAUGAAUGUUGGAUUUUUUCUGUAUUUUUGCCGAUGUGUCCAUAGUUGUACACUAGUAUGAAUCAAAAAAAAUCUAAAAGUGAAAAUUAUAUAGUCAUAUGGGUACUCUUUUUGUAGAUCUCAAAAAGAGCUUUUCGAAUAUAUAAAGUUUGUAAAUUUUGG